UUUUUCUGUUUCUCCGCCUGAUGGCCGACUUGUUGCUCCGCCUCACGCUGACCUGUGCUCGCCUUAUGGCUGAACUGUUGCUCCGAGUCCGCCUGACGAGCCACCUGUUUCUCCGGAUCUGUUUCUCCGCCUAACGGCGACCUGUUUCUCCGGACCUGUUUCUCCGGACCUGUUUCUCCGCCUAACGGCGACCUGUUUCUCCGGACCUGUUUCUCCGCCUAACGCCCGAGCUGUUGCUCCGCCUAACACCUGACCUGUGCUCGCCUCACGCCCAGCCUGUUGAUCGGUGGACGGGUAAGCGCGCAUGGCAUCGGAAGGAGCUCGAAAAGUAUAAGGUGAUGACAGUAAGUAACGUUACUGUGAUUUGUGAUCUUUCUGGGGUGUUAACUGUAAAGCAAUGGAUAAUUGCGUGAAAAUCAAACUAAAAGAAUGCAAUCUUGAGGAGUUAAUCCCCACAUUUGAAGCACAGGAGCGAACUUUUCCUCGUUUUUAGGUCAAUUUGAAUACAAUUCAGAGGGGUGGCAUGGGGGCGCAGUGGGUAGUGCUGUCGCCUCACAGCAAGAUGGUCGCUGGUUUGAGCCUUGGAUGGGUUUCCCCUCCACAGUCCAAUGACAUGCGGUGUAGCUGAAUUGGAUUGGGACCAAUAUUGCUGAGUAUCUUCAUCCAUUGAAUUCAAGAAUCUAUUGAGUUUCCUCAUGUUCUCAUCCUUGGAGACCACCACUUCUUUCAAGCCUUUGCUCACGUGCUGUGCUAUUUAUUAUUGCAAAGUACAUUACUUGCCAAAGUG
rnacentral:lncRNA from 1 species